GCCGCAGUAGCUCAGUGGUAGAGCAACGCAUUCGUAAUGCGUGGGUCGGGGGUUCAAAUCCCUCCUGCGGCACCA
rnacentral:tRNA from 1 species